UGGGGAAUAUUGGACAAUGGGGGGAACCCUGAUCCAGCCAUGCCGCGUGUGUGAAGAAGGCCUUAUGGUUGUAAAGCACUUUAAGCGAGGAGGAGGGUACUGGUAUUAAUACUACCAGCUACUGGACGUUACUCGCAGAAUAAGCACCGGCUAACUCUGUGCCAGCAGCCGCGGUAAUACAGAGGGUGCGAGCGUUAAUCGGAUUUACUGGGCGUAAAGCGUGCGUAGGCGGCUAAUUGAGUCGGAUGUGAAAUCCCCGAGCUUAACUUGGGAAUUGCAUUCGAUACUGGUUAGCUAGAGUGUGGGAGAGGAUGGUAGAAUUCCAGGUGUAGCGGUGAAAUGCGUAGAGAUCUGGAGGAAUACCGAUGGCGAAGGCAGCCAUCUGGCCUAACACUGACGCUGAGGUACGAAAGAAUGGGGAGCAAACAGG
rnacentral:rRNA from 1 species